rnacentral:lncRNA from 1 species
CCGUCGGCAAGCGCAUGUUCCCAUCUGCAAUGGUACCCAACGCCCUCUUAGUGCUUAGCUGAGGAUGACGGUCACAAUCCAUGGAUCGCAGGUUACAGUGGCCAACGUGCCCGCAGGUAUAAAGGUGUCACUCUUCUCCUUCAAACGGCCUACCGAACCGCCACGGCUCCAAAAAAUGCUGGCUGUCCGAACCCGCAAAAAGACAACGAGGGCAUAGCACCCGGCAACCUUAACCAGGACAUAGCAGUCGGUCACAAACGCCAGAGCGACAGGCGCACAUUCACGUAUGACCGUGAAGACGUGCCGAUAUUGAACCGUCAGGUCGGGAACAGCCUCCCCAUACCGCCUCAAAUUGCUAUUUGUACAGAGACUCAGGCCCAGACAUCAUCGCUAAG